rnacentral:lncRNA from 1 species
AAUUUUAUACGCCAGACGCGCGUUUCGUCUACAUAAGACUCAUCAGUGACGCUCAGAUCAAAAUAGUUAAAAAAGCCAAACAAAUACAAAGUUGAAGAGCAUUGAGGACCCAAAAUUCCAAAAAGUUGUGCCAAAUACGGCUAAGGUAAUCUACUCCUGGGGUAAGAAAAUCCUUAGUUUUUCGAAUAAUUCAAAGUUUUGUAAACAGAAAAUUUAUAAAAAUGACCAUAUAAUUGAUAUUCAUGUCAACACCGAAGUGCUGACUACUGGGCUGGUGAUACCCUCGGGGACGAAACGUCCACCAGCAGUGGCAUCGACCCAGUGGUGUAAAUAGUUAUCAAAAGUACCAGGAUUAUAAUUUUAUACGCCAGACGCG